UACGGAGGGUGCAAGCGUUAUCCGGAUUCACUGGGUUUAAAGGGUGCGUAGGUGGCUUUGUAAGUCAGUGGUGAAAUCUUAGAGCUUAACUCUAAAACUGCCAUUGAUACUGCUUAGCUUGAAUCAAGUAGGGGUGGAUGGAAUAUUACAUGUAGCGGUGAAAUGCUUAGAUAUGUAAUAGAACACCGAUUGCGAAGGCAGUUCACUAUGCUUGUAUUGACACUGAGGCACGAAAGCGUGGGGAUCAAACAGG
rnacentral:rRNA from 1 species